rnacentral:lncRNA from 1 species
GCUUAACUAACGAAAGAAAGAUGGAACCAGAUACAUUCUUAAAAGAAAGUGCUUUAGCUUUUAUUUCAAUUUAAUACAAUACAAGGAAAGGAAAAAGGUCUCUUAGGGGUACCACAAAUAAAAGAAAAAAAUAGCUAAAAAGAGUCUGCUUCCUUUAUGAUCUCUUUCUUAGAAAAGAAAUUGCGUAAAUUCUGCCUUUUUUGAUCCCAUGCUUUCCGUUGGUCAACAACCAACUAAAUCUAUACUUCUUCACUACUCCUACAGGGAAGGUGGAAGAAAUUCAGUCUCUCUUUUUUUUGGGGGAGCAGAGCAGUCAAAGAAUGAACCAAACCAAAUGAUUGUUCUAGAAUGGCUAUUCCUCACAAUUGCUCCUUGUGAUGCAGCGGAACCAUGGCAAUUAGGAUCUCAAGACGCAGCAACACCUAUAAUGCAAGGAAUAACAGACUUACAUCACGAUGUCUUUUUCUUCGUUAUUCUGAUUUUGGUUUUCGUAUCAUGGAUCUUGGGUCGCGCUUUAUGGCAUUUCCACUAUAAAAAAAAUCCAAUCCCGCAAAGGAUUGUUCAUGGAACUACUAUCGAGAUUCUUCGGACCAUAUUUCCUAGUAUCAUCCCUAUGUUCAUUGCUAUACCAUCAUUUGCUCUGUUAUACUCAAUGGACGAGGUAGUAGUAGAUCCAGCCAUUACUAUAAAAGCUAUUGGACAUCAAUGGUAUCGGAGUGCGCCUCUUCACGAGGGUGAUUAAAGUGCAACGAAAUGCCUUAAAGUUGAAUAGGGUUCGCGAAGCAUCUGGCUUACCGGUAAUCUCCCAUUCCCGCCGUCGAGAGACUUUAAUAACUAUAGCAUGCCAGAAACGGGGAGUUGAGGUGGUUAGACCUAUACCCCGAAAUGCUCCCAGCAUAGGAGCCUAUGGUUCCAUUCUUGUUGUUGCUGGAGGUACACAUCCCUCUUCUCGGUGUGGAACGAUAUACGAGAAAUAGAUGCUCAGCCUGCAAUGUCCGAUAACGGCGCUGAAGUAGUGAAUCUAUCGGCACCAUAGCAGUGGUAUACAACUUUGGACCUAACGGCCGGCCUAGUAACCUUUCGGAAUGGGGGAUCCCCGUUGGCAACAACCACGGUAGUAGUUGCGGAACUACUGGGCCGGGAGAGGAGCGGAAAGCCACUUGACUGUAAGGAGAGGACAACCUCUUGUUCCUGCUCCUCUUUCUUCGCUUCGGGGACGGAGGUCCUACGGUAGGUAACAGCAGGCACAAGCAAGUUGACCGAAGGGGACCAGCGCUUCUACUCCUCCACCGAGGAGCCGUUCUUGCGAGAAGCAAGGGAUGUCGUGAACGGUGGGAGGUCACAGAGAAUUGACCUAUUCAUAGAGUGAUCCUAUGAUCGAUACAGGAUAUAGACUAUCUCAUUCUUUAUUCUAUUCUAUUUCUGAAAAAAAAAAGAAGGGUGACUCAACUUCUCAGCUAGAGUUGGUGGUGGGACCUGUUGGCAUAAUGCACGCUGGAACGUGGGAAUUCGAGGUCUCAUGAACUACUACUAAAAACCAACCUUGUUUUUGUUUUGUUUGUGGACAAACGAUAUCCGGUCAGGCCUAUGGCUGGAUCCUUUUAGAUCUACGGGCCGGCCGGCCCCGGCCGUUUACAUGAGCAUAGGGAAUCUAUACUCGAGCGUUCCACUGGGCCCCUGACAGGAUAGGUGAGGAAUCACUCUGGAUCUUCUUUUUUUGGGCUACAACUUCGCCGAGCCGACUAGCAUCCCUUUCCACUGUGCAUUUUUCGAACAAAGAAGACGACUAUAGGAUCGAAUUCGCUCUUCAAGAAACUGCUCGUCCCAUACCUUCUGCCUGUCUCAUAUGUGUGGAACCUGGUCUUUUUCGGUUCCAGCCUCUCCCUCGAAUACAUAGGGUAGGUAGGGCUGGGUGAGAAAUGGUUCCCUCUUGCCAAUAAACUUUCCCCGGCCUUCGAUUAACCUUACUCAUAAAGGGUCUUACGGUCGGGAGAACUACCUAACUAAAGAAAAAUAGUGUUCUUUCUAAGAGUAGGCGUGGAGAGCUUUUUGCGGGGAAACUUGCAAGUACAGUUUGGGGGGAGGCGGGCGUCGACCCUACCUUAUGAGUAUUCGGACUAUAACAGUUCCGAUGAACAGUCACUCACUUUUGACAGUUAUACGAUUCCAGAAGAUGAUCUAGAAUUGGGUCAAUCACGUUUAUUAGAAGUCGACAAUAGAGUGGUUCUACCAGCAAAGAGCCCUAUACGUUUUAUUGUAACAUCUGCUGAUGUACCUCAUAGUUGGGCUGUACCUUCCUUAGGUGUCAAAUGUGAUGCUGUACCGGGUCGUUUAAAUCAGACCUCUAUUUCGGUACAACGAGAAGGAGUUUACUAUGGUCAGUGCAGUGAGAUUUGUGGAACUAAUCAUGCCUUUAUGCCUAUCGUCGUAGAAGCUGUUCCUAGGAAAGAUUAUGGCUCUCGGGUAUCCAAUCAAUUAAUCCCACAAAGCCCCGACAAAGAGCCAGUACUGGUCCCCUCUCCCUCUGAUGACCGAACGCAAUCGUCUUCGUGGGCUUCCGCGCUUGCAGAUUGGGGAACUUCUCGAACGCAAUCGUCUUCGUGGGCUGCCGCGCUUGCAGAUUGGGGAACUUCUCGCUCGGAAUCGGAAUCGAGUGUGAACGAAGCCCAACAAAAUGCCCCCGCAGCAGCAGCGGUUGGUGUUGGGGCGGAGAUCCAACCAUUCCCAUUGUUACAGGAUGCCCUAAGGCGUCAGGAGCUAGAUAGCCGGCUGUCGUUCCACUUGCACUUGAUCGGAAAAAACUGGACAGAAGGGCAAAUAAACGCUACGUUGGAACAACAAUUCUUGUUAGAAAAACAAAUGGAGAGCGCUUUACUGGCCAAUGGCUUUAGCCCAGAAUCGAUUCUCAACGAAAUGGGAAAAAUACGAGGGAUCGCUUUCUAUCCGUAUGGGCGACCCCUCGCUGCCACGACAUACAAGAGCUAUAUAGAUAUAAUUGAAAGGGUUGGGCCAGACCAGAGCCCACCCUACAAACGCAUUAUAACUGCUUUUGUAGACUGCAAGCUUCGCCUUCGAUUUGGGAAUUAAGGGAAAAGCUAUAUAAAGUAAAACUAAGGUAGUCGCCAUAAGUCAGCUUUUCUUUUUUUCGGUAUGCCGCUCCGCGAGCAAGGAGUGCCACGCACAAGCGGAGCAAAAAGAAAGCAAGGGAAAUUCUUCUCUUUUUGGGGGAGCCAUAUGAGGCGGAAGCUUAAGCGGAAAUGAAAGAGGAGGUUGAGGGAAGCCACUAAAUUGAGGGCUUCGCUCGCUCGCUCUAACGCUCGUUUAGUAGACAGCGAGUGGAGUGCAUAAGCCCCUUUAGAGAUAGGGGUGAGCACUACACGAGCUCGUAAGUAAAGUACGGAACGAGCCUUGUCUACGAAGCAGAGCGACCUCAUAUUGCUUGCUUCUGGCGAAGCUUCUAGCUCUAAAUAAUAGGAAUUCAGGUAUGGCAGGAAUACUGUCGACCAUUACGAGCGAUAGCGAAGCCAAGCCGUAUAAAGGCGAGCAGCCCUUAUAGCAAUAGCAAACGGCCUACUUAUAGCCUAUCAACAGGUCAGUCAAUAUCAGUAGGGGUCCUCUUGCCUAAAAAAAGGAGUCAGCCCAACAUGGGCAAUGAUAGACAGACCAAAGAUUUACGCAGUCCUUGUGUGCUUGCUUUGUGCACCGGCAUAGCAGAAUUCGAAUCCGCUGGCUCAGAUGAGUGGCUCUUGGCUUCGUAAACAUAUCUAUGUUCUUGCUUUUUCACUACCAAUGAGUAGGCAGCUUUGGAUGCUUAUGGAGAUAUGGCUUUGGUAAAGAUCUGCUUAGCGUGUGCUUUCUCGGGUGCUACUUAGAAUAGAGAUAGUAAGACUCUAACUUGAGAAUGUUAUAGCGCUGUGAAAUAAGGACAUUCUGAUCGACCCGAUUGGCUCUCGUUCUGGUUUGGCGGAAAGGGGAAAAGCACUAAAUCUUUCUUCCUGGUUGGUGUACUAGGGCGAGGCGAAUCCCAACCCUUUCGUUAGCUAGCUUAGCUUUCCCUCUUUUCAAUCUAUAUCAGAUCCUCCAUUACUUCUUCGCCAAUACCUUUUAGCUUUCCUUUAGCUGCUACUUUUUCCCAGUCCACGCCCAAUCUAGUCAGUGUGCCUGCUCCGUCCUUCUUUGACGAAAUGGAUGCUGUAGGAGAGGUUGGGAAGGAGGGACUUCGCUAAAGAUGGUCUGUCUGUGCGCGAGGAAGGUCUUUUUCCUUUCUCCUUCCAUUGCUUGACUAGGUUCGCUUUGCAAGGAAGGGAAGGCAUCCGUGCAGGUAGAAAAGGGCGGAGGUCAAGCUAUGGGCACAAGGAGGUAAGGUAUAGUAAGUUACUUCUUCGUCUUUUGCUUGUCAUUGGAUUGGAAGCCGCAGGCGAUGCCUUCUUGCUUGUGUAGUUGGCCUUGCCUGCUUAGUGCGGAAGUGCGUAAAGUAGGCUCAUUCUUUGGUUUAUAAAGAUCUUGUAGUAGCCGAAGGUAGUCCGCUUGUUAGAUUGAAUUUCAUCUUAUAUAACAACACAACCGGGGCCUUAUUUUAUUAAUUUAGAGACUUUAUCAAUAGUAUAAGUGGACCUCUCAAAGGUAUAAGUAGACAUUAGUCUUGCUGGUUCGGGCGGUAAGGCCCUGGGUAAGCUCGGGUUAGCCUGUCAGGGUGAAUGCAGGUAGUGGAUGUAGCUUUUCUUCUGAAGCGUCUUAGUUCGUAGCUGCCGAAGUGUAGCAUUGAGGUGAGGAGCGCGCUAGCUAGGUGGAGUCUCCUUUCGGAACUACUUCUUUUCCUUUCUCUCUCUGCUAUCCCCUGAACUGUCAGUAUCGAGACAAGUUCGGAAUGUUGGCUGAGCGUAGACUAGUCUGUUCAGGCAGUCACAGGCUUGCUAAAGCUAAAAACGGAACUUAGCUUCUCACUGACUACAUCAGAAGCGAAAUCCUCAACUUCAAAUACAAUGCGAGCUGGAACGGGGUUGCCUUAGCUACUGUGGUGUACAUAUGCCAGGAAUCGCACCAUAGCCGGAGUCGAUCGAGGGCCAGAUCUUGAUGUAGAAAGGAGCUCUCAAGCUGAGGCGGAGAAGAAAGCUUACGAUUCUGUUGGUGUGAAGUGAGCUCUAACAAUCGAAGCGGCUAAAGGAGCCUGCUUUGGUGACCCUACGAGGAAGUGUUGCUCAUGUUAGUAAGCUUCAAACUUCUGGUAACCGCUUAUCCCAAGGUAGGUGGGCUUAGAUAAGAAAUAUAGGCAUUUUUUCUCUAUAUCAAUCCUUCGAUAAAGCACUCAAACCAACGAGUAAGGAAAGGAGGCCUUGAGUUGAUAUUUAAAAGAAGGAGUUCGUCCUGGUGUGCUGCUUCCUUUCCUGCCACUACUUUUUGAGUCAAAAACUCCUCUUUGGUUUAAUUCAUAUUCAACUUUCUCUAGCGGAAUUAGACUUUCAUUUCUAUUUCUUCAAAUCCAGCAUGACAUGUGUCAAGAAUCAAAGAAAAGUUCGCAAAUUGGCGAAUUCAAUGUUUCCAUAUCCCUCCGGGCAGGAAAUCAUAUAUUGAAUAGAGGGUACUCCACCCCUGUAGAGGAUACAACACAUUGAAAUAAAGGAAUUGAUUGGUGGAUCUCUCCCAUCAGACAGAUCAACGGCACCGGGCAUGGGAUACACAGGCAGGAGAGCCGAUUUGACCGCGCAGACCAAAUGAGCGAAAUUUUUUUAAAGCGAAAGCGCUGUGCCAACUUGCGUACAUGAUUUAUAUGUGGAUUUGAUACUAUAGUAAAAUCCUCUUCAUAAGUCCUUUCUUACAGGCUAUUCAAGGUCUAUUGGCUUUCUUGCUUAUGCGGUACUUCGAAGGCUAAGCCUCGUUUAUGCACCGAGAAAGAUCGUCGGUAGGAAAGCUCUGUUAUGCACCAACGACGGCCCCUUCUCUUUACCUUUCCCGUGCCCUACCUCAUUCCUUUGCUGGCUUGAAUUCCAUCUCUUUUCUUCUUUGUUUGCGAGAGUUACUCAUAGGACGACCCACCGGUAGACCAAGACUUGAACGGAUAGAAUCGUACUACCGCUGUCGAUGCCGGUGCUGCUUGCCGACGGCCCUUCGUUUACUUCUCUGGAGUCAACGAUGCCGCUUUUUCCGUCACGGAAACUGCUUGCUGUGCCCGGGUCAAGGAGAUUCGAUUUGCUUGGUUGGGUUCUUUGCUUGCUUAUUCCACUUCUUAAUCAUCCUUCAUUUCACUAAUUCGUAUUAACAUGGACCUAAGAUGAAUUAGAUAGGUUUUACACUUUUCUCAAAGAAAGAGGAAAGGUUGGCAGUUCAGGCUUCAGAUGGAAUUCAAGGAGAAAUUCAAUAAGACAGAGCUUCCUCUGAAAUAAACCUACUUAUUUGAUUGAUGUUCAGUUUCCCCCACUCCUAAGCUAAGUAAGGGGCGAAUAAAGCUCUUUGAAGGACGAAUGCUAAAAGAAACUAUUUACGUAGUAAUAGUAAGUAGUAGCGAGAACAGGAAAGGUAUAAUUGCAUCAGUCCUUCCAAUCAAGCAAGCGACCAACGAUUGCCAUCAAAGCAAGAAGUAUAGACUAUAGACUUGCAGGAUCAAGUGGGAACUUGACAGGUCUCGCAGCUACUAAGCUUUCAAAAGGGCGGCGCCCACCUGCGCUUUGUGCAGAACUGAAAGCUUAACGCAACCGACAUAGGUAAUCAAGCAGCAAUCGAGAGCCGACGGUCUGAUUCCACCUAGUGGCGAAUUAAACCAACAGAGAAAGCAAGCCUAGUUUUUGAAGACUACCUACUCCGCCUUUUUAUCAGAUUUCAUCGUACUGCUAGUCGUUGUUAUUCCCCGCUAACGAGUUUAUCUGCAGUUCGCAAUCAUGCUUUAUUCCCCUUUCAAGUUGGAAAAAAAGAAGUAAGACCCGUGUGAAGCUUUAGUUUCGUUACCGGCCAGAGCUCCUAGCCCUUUUGAUUCUGUUUUAUCUCAGUUAAACUCCACACCUCUAUCAAUUCAUUCUUUGCCACAUAUCUCUUUCUUUUUCUUUGUUGCCUUUUGAAAGGAAAGCCCGUCCAUCAAGUCUGUAGAGUUCCGUCCCGCUAGAAGUGAUCCUAUCUUGUUUGGGAAUUUCCUUUGGUAAUCCCCUUCUUCUUUACGGUCGAUCUUUUCCUUUGCUUAGGUCCACUGUUCCUGUUCUGGUUGUUCCGAAGGUACGAACCGAGGCUAUCUCAUAUAGCUGCCAUUGAUGGAUCAAAUCAUUCUAAAAAAGCGAUAUGCUUAACACAAGCUUUUCUUUUUGCCUACUCCUGGAAAAGAGCUGAUUCAAUAGACAAGUCGAGCAGAAGGGAAGAGCUUCCCAAAUCCUACUGUCAAGAAAAAGGCUAAGAGCACUUAUUUAACUUCUAGCUCGUUAGGGAUGGGAUUCCUAAGACUAAGACCGGUAAUGCCGUAUACUACGACCGGAAAAAAGAAUUGACCUCUAGAAAACUCAUUUUUAAGGUCUCUUUAUGACCUUAAGGACUCUUUUAAAGUGGGUUAAAACCUCAUUUCUUAUAAUAGAAAUAGGAUUGUAAAUCUAAAAGGAUUGGCGCAUAGAUACUACAAUUGAUGAAAAAAAGGAUCUGGUCUUUCACUACCAAUUCCUUUCAUUUUCGAUUCGGGAUGAUGAGCCCAACCCUGCUGGACGUAGCUCUCUUAACCGGUCUUGAACUUGAAUUGGAUAGACCGAAGUCUUUCUUACCCAUCCGAUAAGCCUUUUACAGACUCGGCUCUUUCAAAUCCUCUCAACAAUAAUUGACCGUUCACUCAUGCUUUCAUGGGAACAAGGAACUGGAAGUCUGCUGUUACUGAUCUGAUCUUUUCUUUCCUGGGUGUGGACGAGACAAAGAAAAGUCUUCUUAGUCUUCCGCUUUUUCGAUGAUAUCUAUAAGAAGGAAUACCUGUCGUAAGGUAAACAGGAGUUCCCGGCUCAAGCGAAAUGAUACCGGCUGAAGGUAAGUAAAUUCUUUAGUUUAGGGAAGGAAUCCACUCUAAAAGCUAGUCUUCUUUUAUCCAAAGAAUCCGAUGCAGUUAGCGAGAGUCGUGGUAGUUCAGUUCGAAAGGAAAGGCAGUUCAGUCAUCCGCGGGUAGAAAUCCUAAAAAAGGAAAGUAUGCUAUCUCUCCUAGCCUUCUUUCUUGCUGUGAUUCCAUUUCCUGCACCAAGCCAAGUUAGCUCAUCAUAGGGCUUUUUUUUUUUAAGAAAGGCUUAAGUUCUUCCUUUAUUAAGGUAAGGUCCGAGAGUAAGAUGGCUUUUUUUUUCAGCUCUUCUGACUAUGCUUUCCGUGGUAGCUAGGCAAAGUCCAGGUUAUAUCAAAGCAGACUACUUCCUGGUGGUUUAGUAAGGGCUUUAGGAAAAGGCGUAACUGCUCUUGUCGGAAGGGCAGGGCUACUAUACUAUAUGGUAAAGAUCUCCCACACCUGGACCAGGCUAAAAACGAUGAGUCUUCUCUUUUCAGGGUUAGACUCUAUAGAACCAGAACAAUAGACUGAUUGACUGUGGUCAGGUCAGAGCCCUCUAUUGUCUGUUGGAGGAGAUUGAUUGGACUUUAUACCGCACCUUACUUAGUCUUCCGCUGGAACUGGAUUCUCUAAAGCUUAAAUAGAAGUACCCCUCGGGGGAGGAUUGAAUAAGGAAUUUACUUCUCUAAAUCUAAAAAGGAGAAAAAACAAUUUCAUCUGUAUCUGGCACUGCUUUACUUGGCUUAUCUAGUAGACUGUUUUUAGCUUUCACGUGUCGAGAGGGAUAAAACCUUUAGCUUUAGCAAGUACUACUACUCCUAUGUUUUCGGAUAGUAUAACCGAUUAUAUGAUGUUCUUUUCGCUCUUGGAGUAAGAAAAAUAUGUUUGAAAGGUGCGUAGCGGUGAAGUCAAGAGAUUCCGGAAUCUCUCUUUCCUGUGCUAUCAAGAAUAAGGAAUAGCCAGCAAGGUCUUCUUCCUUAUUAUACGCGCGUGCAAGAGAUUCUGUUUAGUGUAAGGUGCAAGGCGAAAGUCAUAAAUGAAAUAGAACUCCCUGUCUCAUUCCCGACUAACCGUGAACAGAGUGAAGGGUGGGCCAAGAGCUUUUUAUAAGGGGUCUUUUUUCAACAAUAUUCCCCGGGCUCACCUAUAUCCUAUUUCUCUUCUAGCUGGCGGAUUCUCUCUUAUAUCGAUUUCUCAACUCAUAAUAAGUAAGGCACAGAGAGCUCAAUGUAGGAAUCGUGGAAAGGCAAGUAAACUACCUCGCUCCACUAGCUAGGUAACUCCUUUUUCUAACUAAGAAAGCAGCAAAUCCUUGUUGCCUGCAAAUAGGCUUUCUUCUCAUUCCCUCCCCAUUUUUCUUAUAUAGUCCGUAUUUCAAGUAGUCAAUAUGCCAGUGCCUAUUUAUUCUCUUGCCCUUCCUUCUCUUGUGCCGGGCGUGUGAUCGAUUGGAAAGCUCCUUCCCCUUUUCGCCUGGAAGAGGGUCAGUCUCAAAGCAAAUGAAAGCGGUUGAUUUGAUGCUCUCCGGAAAGAGCCAAAAUAGCCGCGGAUGCAGAGUUAGCACUACCCUGCUUCCAUCCCCUAUCUCACCUUCUUUUCCUAUGUCGACGUUGUCAUUUGGUCACUAACGGUCUAAUUAGUCAUAGUUUCCUUCUUCGGAGGGUUGGUUUGCCUUCUCAUCCAGCUUGAGAUCGGCCAGAUGGGCUUUUGCUUUGUUUACUCGGAGUUCUUUCCGUCUAGUCUGGUUUGCUUCUUUGCGUUCACUCGCGGAGUUCUAGUUAGGUGAAUUCUUUGCAUCUAUCAAUCAAAUGAAUGCGAAAAUUCUCUCACCAACCAAGCUAUCCCAAGCUGAUUUGGCUAAACAAAGGACUUGGUGAUUAGUAGCUGGUUCAACAAGAGCAAUUUGAUCUUAUUGGCUUGCUUAUUCAACUCGUUUGAGUAAACCCCGUCUUCACUUCGUCCCUCUUCCCUUUCAUCCAUUACCGUUAGCGCAAUAGGCUGCUCGAUUUGCCAUCUCGGCUCUUCUUGCCCUUUAUCCCAUGCCUGGGUAAAUUCUUUUAACCCUAGUCAGUAGACUGGCCUUUCCUUGGCGAUUGGAUCCGUGAGUUCAAUCAAAUCGGAUGUGGUAUCGUAUUUAAUAGAAAUGGCAGCUUUUAGGCGUGAUCUAUCUCUCUGCUUUUCAUAGUCAAGAUGUGCCCGUGGGAUGAGACUUUAGGGCUUUAGGGAGAGACUCUCUUUCUUUCUCAGAUUCAAAUGCGGGACCGGUAGUAGGGGUCAACGUUUUUGCUGUUACAGAAUCCCGUGCUACGGAAUGAAUCUAGUCACCAUCCGAUUUAGCUCUUUUAGUAUGGACAUGGCUUAAGGAAGCGAAUGACUCGAGUUCAAGUAGUUCGGCUAAGCCGGCAAGAGAGAUGGAAAGAGCGGAUCGAUCUCCUGCUUCCCGAAUGCCUUGACUUACUAAAGACUGGAAUGAACCAUGAAAUUGAUAAGGAAUGAGAUUCGGUAUCUACUCUAGAUAUGAUCUUUCCCAUAAAGCUAGGCAUGAAAAAUCCGUAUUCCAGAGCAAGUCAGAAGACUAGCUAUAAGGAAAGACUCUAUUCCAUAUACCAAAGCCAAGAGCCAAGCUAACUCAAUAAAGGAAGAAACCCUGCCAAGCCAAAGCUAGAAAAAGCACAAAGCUUUCCUGUUGAAUGAGGCUAUCUCUUCUAUCGCUCCUUCCAAGUGAGCCUCUUUCAUAGGAAUUCCCCCCAUCAGAUCAGGGGGUUCCUAUAGGGGCCAGGUACACUCUACCUGAAAAUGAGACAGAAAUGAAUGCAAGACUUCGAAAGCUUGCAAGGCUUGAAGCUCAGAAAUGGAUGAUUUGAGAUCCGUUGAAUUCAGACCAUAAAGCGUAAAAGUCUUUUUCCUCCCACUUGAAUAGAAGAAUGAAGGGAGGAAGUCAAUUGCCCCUUCUCCAGCUAACCGAUAGGGAAAUCCUUACACAAGCCCAAAAAAAAGCAUGAACUCGAUCUUCAGCCCUUACCACGAUUCUCUCAAAAAAAGGAAGGAGAUGAAUCUGCCUAAGUAAGGAAGCGGGGCUUAGUGUGAGUCACUUCACUCGGGAAAGAACAAAGAAAGGGCAAUCAAUUGUUUAAGCUGUCAAUAAUUUCUUUAAAUUAGUAAUUUGACUGCGGAAAGGCCUACUAAGGUCCGCUCGAGGUUAUCUUCUUCCUGAUUCAAUCAAUAGCAGCUCCUUCUUUUCUUGCUAACAGGGCAAGGGCAUUCGAUGCAUCUGAUUCAAUUCCUGGUCCGCCCUCUCUUUCACAGCCUAGGAGUACACAUCGAUGAGCUUAAGUAAGCCUUUUUGACUAAUACACUUUGUUGAUGCAACGAACUUUUUCUAUUCCACGAGCAGAACACCUGAGAUGCACAGCACGUGGGCCUUGUCUAACGAACGACGACUUUCGAUUCUUAAUCGACAUAGGUUUCUCUUUUUGUGUAAUUGAAUUGGAUGGGCUUGCAACCCUUAGGCCUGCCUCUGUCACUGCAAGAGGCUCGAAGGGAUGAAAUAGCUCCUUUAAUCAACAAUAAGAGGGAAGCGCUUGAGCGAAAGGAGAAGGCAGAAAAAAAAGAUGCCUUUAUCCCUAGAGAUGCAGGAGCUUGCCUUAGGACAGAAACUGCUGAUAUCCGAAUGGCGUACGGAGCUGCUUACCCUAAGACUUCAACUCCAUCUUACAUCGAAGUAAGUUCGGCUGGAUCGAGAGAAUCUGGAUAGGCAUGAUCGAAAGAGGGGGCAACUCUGUCUCCGCCUCUGCUCGUGCACUCGUUAAAGUCAUGGCCUAGCCUAGUUGGUGAAGGAGCCUACAAGUGGUAACCGCUCUGUAUCCGUCAUCUCUUUGAAGAAGCUGAAAGGCUAGAAGCGGCGCUUUCAAAAUCCCGUGACUCUCAGUCAUCUAUCUUCUUUUCACCUGAAAAUUUUGGAUUGGGGGGAAGCAGAGAAUCGAAAAAAAGAAAAAGAAAGUCAUGCUUACUAUAAGAAGGAAGCGGGCGGAGACCCGUGCGUGCAGCAGGUGUAGAGUCAGUCGAACUAGUCCUGCGAAUAUGCGAAAAUGUUAUUUAUGAAUGGAGACCAGACACAAUUGCUUUAGCGGGGACUGAAAUCGUGACUAUGUGUUCAUGCUUUCGAAAAGAAAACAACCAUCUACACGGGGCGCUAUUUGUCUACUUAUUGCAUUAGUCACGUCUAUUUUGAAGUCUUAUUUAACUCGUUCGAUGUGAAGCCCUUCCACACCUGUAUGAAGCAUCUCCUCUCGGGAUUCACCGGACUUCGUAGCUUGAAACAACCUGUCCUUUUCCUUUUCCCUAUGCUGAGGCAGCACCAACAAAUCAAUCCAUCGAAGUUCCUAUUGACAUACAUAAAAAUAUAGGGAUGCCCUUGAUGAUUCGGAUCAUCUCAAUCAAUUGAUUGGGAAGAGAUUACUUAUGAGCAAAAGGGGAGGACGAAGUCGCAGGAGAUUUGGUAUUAUUCAAACUGUCAAAAUAAGGGAUAUCGUUGACUGGUACAAGAAUCGAAUUCCUUGCUUACACUUUCUUUCUACUGGUUGGCUUACCCUGUAUUUCAAGAGUAAAUACCGCAGUGAGGAAUAGCGGUUCCUCUGUUUGUUUGGUCUAAUAAAAAGAUUUUUCAUCACCGCAAGCACUCUCGCUUAGCUACCACUUGUCUUUGCUUGCUUACUUCUAAAGCAAACCAGACUGAAGACAGUAGAGAAAGACUUUUUAUUACGUUAUCCAGAAUGCGAUGCCCCAAGGCAAGAAAGUAGCAAUCGGCUUUCAAUCCUAUGAUUUGACUCGAAUAGCUAAUAUCAGAGUAGCAGAUAUGGUUUUAGCGGAAGCUGCUUUCCCCGGAUGCGGAAUUGAAAGAACCAUGCCUUUUUUCUUAGAAAAGCCUCCUCAUCAACUCUCUAUCUUUCGAACCACACAAGGAUUUUCAGUCCAGCUGAGCUACCUGAACCACUUUGAAAUAAGUCUCCUUUCUUUAUGUAAUUUCCCCGCCCCGGGAUUCUAACGAUGACGGAAGCCUCUAUCUUGAAUUGAAGGGCCGCGCGACUUUAUCUCUUUGAAGAAGGACGAACUCUUCUUUAUAUACACAAUUUUCUGUACGAAAUUGGAAGAAGAAUUGCUGCUUUCAAGCGUGAACCAGGUCCAGGAUUCGGACUAGGAAUUGCUAUUUUUUCCGAUGCAGUUAGCUCUAUUCCCUGACCUGAGGGCGGGAACCGUCUUAUCUUAGGGUAGGGGUAGCCCAGGUGGGAAGGGCCGGGGGGUUCGCUUUUUGAUAAUCAAUAAGUACNNNNNNNNNNNNNNNNNNNNNNNNNNNNNNNNNNNNNNNNNNNNNNNNNNNNNNNNNNNNNNNNNNNNNNNNNNNNNNNNNNNNNNNNNNNNNNNNNNNNGAAAGGAAAGACUCUUCCCUGCAUUCCUUCUUUUCCAAAAAAAAGGAAAUUUCUUUGGGCAAAAACCUUGGUAGUUUUCAAACAAAUCCAAUGUUGGGCCAAGCCUUGCCAGCCGGUAAUAGCCGAAGGCAUAAAAGGGGGAGAUAGGGAAGAGGAGAAUUAAGGAUAGUCACUCCACUCCAUAGAUAGUGCACACAGAUUCUUCUUUCAUUUUCCAUUCCUUUCGGGUCGGAAACGCGGGCUGCUAGUGGGGCUGUGCCCAUUCUCCCUCUUCUUCCGCUUUACAACCGGAAUAAGGAACCUUAGAAUUCACCCUACCUGUCGAUGAAAAAAUGGGAUUUGAGAGGAGCUGAAAGCCACUUGACUCUAAGGAGAGGACCACCCGCUAGCGGAUCAGAAAGAUUUGUAUGGAAUGUCCUACUCCUGCCUGAGCUUUCCGAUCAACCAAUCCCCUAUUUCAGGGACAUCUGUGUUAGGUAGGCCCAGGGAUCACUGAUUAGUCGAAUGAGCCCAUCUCUCUGGCCUAUCAUUUGUUGGUCGAUCCGGCUGGCGGCUCCUGCAUCUCCUGCCUCUCUAUGGGGGCCCCUUUUUUUAGACUAGUUUGCUGCUAGGAGUCCCUAGAGUCGAAUUAAUAAUCAAUAGAAGUCCCAAUAGAAGUUGACUGACCUGGCUCUUCAAUCGACGAUCUACUGCUCCCUCUUAAUAGCAGAUGCCCAUGCUUUGAUUCGAAAGCCCUAGCCAUCCCCAGGUAUUCAGUGUCUGGUUCGAUAGGACCAGGAAGAGAGGACUCUUUUUUUUCCUCCUCCCUUCAGUCCAGUUUGAACCCGUCCCAACAACGAACACCUUCCUACUGCAAGGUGAGGCUCUGCCCUUCCCUAGAAUCCACUCCGGGUCGGAGGAGCAACUAGUCAAACUUCUUGAGCAGCCGAGAUAUUGAACAACGAACAUUUGAAACAAUUCCUUGCCUCACCCUGAGAUGAGAGGGAAGGUCGAUUUGACUCGAAUCCUGGACCUGAUCUUGAAUCCUACACCGGUUAAUGAUGCGAUGGGGGAAGUUUUUCUUUUUUCAUCAAUGCUGGCCCAGUCGAGGCUCGUCCAUGCCCAAUCCCGAUGGGCCUUCGAUUUGCCCCUACCCUAGCUCUAUAAUCCACCCGUCUUCCCCAGUCCCUGAAAGCCCUCCGGGGGCCUAGCCCUCUUUCUCCACUCGAGUCUGAAGUUUAGCGGCUUUCAUCGUUGACGAACACCUGCGCUAAUAAGACAAAGAAAUGGAGAGUCUAUGCCUUGAAUGAAUCAGUAACAACGGAUUAGUGGAAUGAGGGAUCAAGAGACGGAUAGGGAGGGAAUGGCCUAUCAAUCAUUGGUUGACCUUCCCUUGAACCAGUCACGGAGCUCUCAACUGAGUUGUUUAGGUUCUGGAAUUCCAUCUCUAGUUGGGGCUUUCGAUUCGAAAAAAUGUGGUGCGGGUUCAUCUCUCUCGACCAGUUCAGGUGAGAGGGAGGAUGUAAUUCAGCUCGACCUACAGGGAGAGGGAGGGUGAUCGAGGGGACCCAGACUUUCGAUUUCUUCUCUAUGGCGGGAGGUUUCUUUCGUAUCAAGAGUGUGUUGGGGAGGCCAGGGAAGAUGGAUUGGAUCGAGAGGCGAUGCUUAUGCUUCUUCUUUCUCGAUAGGAUUCCCAUCAUUUUCAGUCUACGGCGAAGGAGACAAGGGCGAGGCACCGAACAUGUUCUACCCUCAACCUCCAUCCGUCAUUAGUAAUCUCAAUUCGCUUUUCCUAUUCACUAGUACACUGCGCGCUACAACUAGCAGCCCCUUUACUAGGUUGGGAAAAGGCUAGCGCGCUAGCGCGCAACGGCUGAUGAAAAGCCAGCAACUUCUUAGGAGUCAGAUAGGGUUGGAACCCUAUACAAGGGGCUGCUUGCUGCUCGCCCCUAUCUCUAAAGUGGCUUAUGCACUCCACUUGUUACCACUAAACGACGAAGCCAGGAGCGGAAGGAGGGACUUGAACCCUCAACCUUAGCCUUGGCAAGGCUAUGCUCUACCAUUAAGCUAUUUCCGCCAGCUAGGGUAGUGGCGAAGCACUACUGAGCAAUUCACGUAUCAAUUGAUACGGACGACUUCUGUUUUUCCGCCGGACCACAGUCUUGACCUCCGGCUACGAACACGAGUAGAUAGGCGGUUAGGGGGGGAGAGGGUCGGCUGGGCCUGCCUUUUCAAUCAAUCUCCGGCCGCUCAGUGCCGCGAUUGGUGCGAGUUGUAAGGAGUCUUGGUCUCGAGUCAAGCUGGGGCGUCAUUUCAUUCUCGUAACGGGAAUGAGUGCACCGCAAGACCAGACAAGUUGCUCCCUCGCCUCGCAGCGGCGGCAUCUGUCUUUUAAGUUAAGUCAUUUCCUAAGACGGCUCCUCUUAUUCUACGAUAAUCCAAGCUGCAGCGGCACCUCAUGAACUUCUUACUGGGGCAGUACUAUAAUAGGCAUUUGCGAGUGUUUGGAUGCACGUGUUUUGUUCAUAUUCCUGCGCAGUUAAGAGAAAAAUUGUCCCCAAGGCAACCACUUGUGUCUUUCUUGAAUAUGCUCAGUCCGGGUAUAUAUAUGCUAUGACGUGAAAUCCAAGAGAGUCGAUGUAUCCUUAAUGCUCUCUUUAAUAGGGUCGCCUCAUAUUUUCCUUAACCUAAUUAAUCAGCCCCGGGGGAGAAUGAUGAUGGAGAUGUAUUGCGGCCUUCUCCUGUUCAUCAACUCGAACCUCAUUCUUCUGCAGUUGAUGUUACGGAUUAGCCGCACUCUUCAGGCCAGCAGCUUUGCUCAGCAUUUUCUGCCGACUGUCAGCCUGUUCAGCUGACCUCAGAGGAUUCCUGUCACCCGGCACAGCAUGUUUAUUCUCGGCGGCGAUUACAGCCUCUUUCCCAGGGUCAGGCUACUCCAGAAGAUCAGCAGUCUAGCCCAGUUGCUUCCCUUCCAGUCGCUUCCUAAAAUUCUGGAUCCCGCUCUCAGCUUCGUCGAUCCUCUCAAGUUUCUUAUCCUGUUGAAGGCUUAUGAAUCGUUUUCCCCAAAACAAAAGAUCGAGCUUACCUCAUCUCAGUUCAAUCUUCUCAUGAACCUGAAUCAUUUGCUGAAGCCUCCAAUCAUUCUUGCUGGAGAGAUGCUAUACAGGAAGAAAUCAAUGCCCAGGAAAAAAAUAAUAAGACUUAGUCUCAUUGCCUGCAGGGAAAGAAGCCAUUGGCUGCAAGUGGAUUUACAAGAUCAAGCAUAAAGCAGAUGGCUCGGUAGAUAGAUACAAGGCUAGAUUAGUAGCUAAAGGAUUCCUUCAAGAAUAUUGAGUCGAACCCCUUUCCUUACAGUCAAGUGGCCCAAGGGCCCCCUUUAGAGAUAGGGAAAACAUUUGCUUCAGGUUGCUAAACACCAUUCGUGGCAUUCUUGCCUUGGCUGCAAUCAAAAGGUGGCCUUAUUUCAAUUUGACGUGCAGAAUAGAAUGCCUUUCAACAACAUAAGGGAAGGGGGCAAGAAUAAGUUUCUAUUCAGCCUCCUCCAACUCCAGGCUUCUCUUCUCCUAGGAAUCCUAACUUGGUAUGCAAGCUCAAGAAAGCGAUUUAUGUUACGGCCUCCGGCAAGCUAAAGCAGGCACAAGAGCUUGGUUUGAAAGGUGACAGCAGCAUGUAUAAGAGCCGAAAUAGGAGUAGAGGAAGGAGCCGGUUUUCAAAUAAGUAAAUCGGAUCAUUCAAUGUUUAUAAGGAGGUCGACAUCAGGUAUUGUCCUUCUUCUGCGUGGAUGACAUUGCUUUCUCUAGUAAUGACUUAGCUUCGAUAAAUGAGCUUAAGAGAAGAUUAAGAACCCAGUUUGAUAUGAAAGAUUUAGGAGACUCAAAGUCUCUUCUGGAGAUUAAAGUGAUGAGGUCGCAAAGAGUUUUGGAACCCAGUGCAAGUAUUCAUUGGAUUUAUUGUCAAAAGCUGGUCUUUCUGCAUGCAAACCGGAAUAAGAUAUAAAAUUAGCCUCAGAUGCAGGAGAGCUAUUGGAUGACCCAUCUACUUGCAAGGAGACUUGUUGGGACUCUUUUCUACCUGACUAAUUAUCGCCCAGACAUUGCUUACACUUACAACAUAGGAGGGAGUGAUCAGCCGAUUUUUAUAUGGACAAGCCGAGAUCAUCUCACUUAGAAGCUGCUUUUCGGAUUCUGCGAUACAUCAAAACCUCACCGGGAAGAGGUUGAUUCUUGUCUACGUCAUCCUCUCUUCAGCUGUCUUGUUACUAUUAUACUGAUUUCAUUAAGGCAGUAGAUUAUUCUGAUUGGAUUUCGAACAUCGUCCCCAUGCCCAAGAGGGAUGGACGUGUUCGCGUAUGCAUCUAUUUUUCUCAAUAAAGCAUGUUCCCAAAGAUGAUUUUCCGCUGCCGAACAUUGAUUUGCUUGUGGACAAGACUAUUGUUAAAGUAUACCUACUACUCUUUUCUGACGAUUCGAAAUUCUCGUCGUCGGCUUCCUCUCCCUGUAGGUCGAGCUGAAUUACAUCCACCCUCGAGGUAGAGUUCGUUUUGUAAUAGGAGCCCCGUUGGGCCUUUACGGAGCUUGGCCUGCUUUCGCAUUAACUCACCAUUUGGUGAUUUGGUUCGUAGCAGCCCAAGUAUAUCCAGGAGUUCCUUUUACACGCUACGCUAUCCUCGGCGACGAUAUCGUCAUCGGAGAUGAGCGGGUGGCUGAGCGUUAUCGCGAGCUAAUUCCGCCACUGAAUGUUCCAUUUUCGUUAGAGAAAUCGUUAGUAUCGUCAGUUGGUGCUUUGGAGUUUGCUAAGCGGUUCUUCGUACGCGGAGUGACUAAGGACUUUUUUCCUGUCUCCUGUCACAUGUUAAGAUCCUUAGUUAGUUCCAUAUCCCUUGUUCCUGUAAUGAGGGCUAUUAUGUCUAAGAAUCUUCCAUUGUCGUAUCGUUUACGGGAAGCUGGGUACCGGGUGUAUACUCGACGCACGGCGCCUCCUAGGAGACACUGGAAUCGGCAUUUCCUCGUCUUUCACUCACCGAACGGUGUGUGUCCUCUCCCCUUUUGGAUCUGGUUAAGCGCAACCACUGGUAAACACUUAACCUCUUAUCAACAAGGUAUGGUGAGGGGACCUGAUUAGGCUCUUGACCCCUCGAUUCCCGAGAAACUCAGUGAUCUCGAAGUUUUUCGAAGCCUGGUCAGAGUACGACUGGUUAGGGGGGCAUGGGUUUUGUCCGAAUGGAUGAAGUCCUUUCUCUCUUACUGGUCUUGGUAUUACACUAUCGCGGAGGAAAAAAAGACUCCCAUUGAGGCGCUACUUAGCCCGUAGGUUGUGCCACUGGUGACUAACCAUACAAAUAAAUUAUAUCAUUUUAAUAAUAACUAAUAACGGCGCAGUCUUCCGGUGUUACGACCUGGUGCUCUCUUGUGAAGAGCCAAAAGCUCUUGACGUAGGGAGGUUCGGUCCAGUCUGUUCACCUCAAUUUGCGCCCUAUUUGAGACUAAAGCAGGCGGGGUGGCGACCUCGUCUUAAGAUAAGAUAUAGGCAAUAAGACUUUAAGCGCACCUGAGCGCCUUUGCCCAUAGAGAAUACUGGGGACGAAAGUCUCUGGGGGGGUUCUAUGGAGCAAGUCUCCCAUUGCUUUCGCAAACCAGUGGGGACAACCCCCCAAAAAAACGAGUUUUCCACGCGGCGAUCUUUAUUUGAAAUAUGAGCCGCUAAAAUUUCUCCCUUUUGAAUGUAUUUACCCCUAUGAACCUGAUGCAUACAAGUCUUUCUGUUUGUUGGAAGGCUUAUACAUAAUACAUAACCAAAGGAAUGCUUAUAGUGUACCCAUUACCUGAUAAAACGAUCUUUUCCGGUAAAAAAAAAUGAUCUUUCCCUUGUGUUCGGCUAUAGCGGAAACCAAAAAAUCUAGAGCUUAUGGUCUUAAGUUCCAACCCAGUUCCAACAAUGCACUUCUCGGCACAUCAUCGGUAGGGGAAAGCGGAACUGCUUGACGCUGUAUACUAAAUACAACAAGCCCGAUUCGCAUCAUUAUGCUCAAUAAAAGGAAUGAGGGAAGCGAAAAUGCAAAAUAUUGGAAUUGGAAGGAAGGGAAAAUUGGAAGAUGAAUCUUUUCCCCGGAGCUGGAACAACUUGUUCUUCCUGACCCGAUUCAACGCCAAAAAAGGGCUUGUCCCUACCUGAAAGUAUUCAUAUUUCCUGAAGAAAGCAUCUGUUCUUUGAUCUCUAAGAUAUUUCAUAAAACUCUGUAUGGAUCCUCAAUCACCAAUCCUUGCAUGAAUAUGGGUUGUGCUCGAGAGGCUAUGAAUCGAUUGGACCUGCCAAUCGAAUGAAUCGUAACACUCGUAAUGAUCGACUUUACGAAGAUUCCAUUGGAUUCCGGAAGCUCGUAGCAUUGGUCCGGCACAAUUCCCAAACUUAAGAAGCUGGGGGCGUGCCCGCCGGCCCUGACCUGCCUCCGAUUACUGAAAGUGAAUUCGUUUUCAAUUAUCCUAAGCCGGCCUAUCAUUCAUUGGUUAGGGUUAGGGAAAAAAGCUAGCUGGAAGUAAUCUCUUCUUCUCAGUGAAAGCUAAAGGCCCUGGUAUAGUAGGAGUGUGGUGCGUGCUCUCUUUAUUCUGUAGAUGCGCUCCUGGGAAGGGAAGCCAGAAUUUUGGAUGUAGAUCGAUCAAUCCCGCCCUGUUCAAGUGAUCGCCCCGAGCCGAGCGAGAUUGGAGACCGCCUUAAUGAUUGUUCGUAAUGGGCCUACCAUUUAACGUACGUAUGUCAUGUAGUUUUUGUUUUUGUACCUUUGCCGUCCCUCAGCCCCUCUCCCACCCUUUCUAUCUAUCAUUAGAAGUAGGGCGGGUGGCGUACCUCACUGAGCUAUCGAUCGCGAAGCUAUCGCCCGGUUCAACCAACCGUCCGUCCUGGUGCCUUUGCUACUGAUUUGACCGCUUCUCAUCGUUAAUCCGGGUUCACCUUGGCCCUCGCCCCAGAGUUCUUAUGAAGACUCUGGUGGUGCAUGUGUAUGAUAGGGCCCCCCAUAAGCGCCAAAGAUCGGUGAUGUUGUCAUGAUAAGUGUGGGAAGUCGAUAGUGUACUCGAUGAUUGAAGGACCUAUCGACUUGCAUUAACUUCCCGUGGCUAGUAGGGGGAACUUUAAUGUAAUUGCGGAUCCAUUAGAAAAAACUUGGGGGUCGGCCUCCUGACUUCAAUGCCUUUAUUGAAGUGAUGAGCUUUGAAGAUAUGAUUUUCUCGUUUGGAUUAUUUGAUUGGGCUUUCAAUGACAGCAAAUUGACUUGGAGCAAUAAUCAAACCGGUCAACAUUGUAUCUGGGCCAGACUAGAUAGAAUCCUUUUGAAUGGGGACUGCCCGCUUCUAUAUAAAAGCCGUUUUGCUUCCACCAGAGUUGACCAUUUGCCUAGAGUAUCCUCUGAUCACUCUCCUCUAGUAAUCUUCUUAGAAGAUUAUAAUACUCGCAGGCCUGGGGUCUUUCGUUUCCAAAGAAUGUGGAUUCGGCAUUACAUUGAUCUCAACCAUGCUCGGGAAAUCCUUUUCAAGUCUUCUCCAGGAAGAUUGACUCGACAAAUAAAGCACUGAAUUGGCGAACUAUUUCAGAAUAUAGAAAUGCCGAAAACGAAGAAGGCCAAUUUGCUCUUGAACAGAGUUGGUCUGCUGAUAAGAAAAUGGAGUUAGAUUCGGCCAAGAGUAACCUUGAAAAACUUCUGCUUUACGAAGAAAGAUAGAGAAUAAGCACCUUGAACCAAAUUCAGAACUUGUCUCUGUAUGGCAGGAAGCUCUCAAUUUAUUUCAUACAUUACUUUCUUCUCAAGGUUCGGUGCUUGAAGAUGAGAUCCUUGAGACCAUCCCCUCUCUAGUCACAGAGGAAGAUAAUAAGAUGCUUACGAGCCCUCCUAAUAUGGAAGAAGUUUAAAAGGUAAUUUUUAGCAUGUCGGCGCGCACUAACCCAAAAAAAGGUCUCCCCUAUCCUUUAAAGCCAUCAGGCUUUCCGGAUUCUUUUUAUAUAGAAAAUAUUGUUGGGAUUUCAAAAACUUCCAGCCGGUCACCUUAUUUCUUCGCUGAAGGUGCGAUCCCCCGUUCCAUCAAUGCUACUUUCCUUGCUUUGAUUCCUAAUAUUUUGAUCUAGGACUACCUCUAUUUAAAUCUAAAAAAAAAAAUUCUCAUCUUCUGGAUAGAGUAUAAAAUAAAGUGGUAGGAGAUGAAAGCAUUGUUAUCCAGUGGAUUUUGCAAACAUGUUCUUUUCUCGAUGCCUAUACACCUUCUUGCAGGGAUUCCAGUUUCAAAGGGAGUUCUUGACCAGUUGGAAAAAAUGUUAGCUAACUUUUGGGGAGGCGGUGAUGAAGACAAAAGAAAGCUUCACUGGAUAUUUUUUGAUACUAUGUGCCUACCUAUUCAGGAAGGGGCUUUGGGUCCUCCUACUACAAGACAUUUUCAAGAGCUUUCAAAAGCUUUUCGUAUGAAGUUUACCUGGUCAAUAAGAGGGGGGUACUUUCAAUGAGAAGAAUAUCAGAGAGCCAGGGGUGGAACCAGAAAUCAGUGCUAGCUCCAUUUCCAAUCCGCCAUUUUUAGCCCUUAAGUAUUGGUGGGGUUGCCUGAAAAUAGAACGGAUUUCACUCCAAGUCCUGACAACCAGGUUUGGAAGCAGCAAACCAUAGGGGCUUUCAGAUAGUUUCUUUUGAAAAAAGCAGUCCAAAGUAUGACUCCCUCUUAUUGACCAGGCCAACUCCUUUACUAGUUAUUUAAAAUCAUAGAUGUGCUUGACGCACAUGGAAACUGCUUUUUCAAUGAUAUCGAAGCAUUUUUGCCUCACAGAGUGGUUUAUGAUAUCAGGAAUAGUGGUAUAUUCACAUCUCAUCAGGAGGAUAGGGGGAUAUGGAAAAAGAAUCGUAGUGAGUCAUUUAUUCUCAAAGCUGGUUGGGAAUCGAUAAGAAAUCGAACGGGCAUUCAAGCUUGGACUCAAUUUGUCUGGGAUAAAGCCAUUCCUACAAUAAUUAGCAUUUUUGCGUGGAAGCUCUUAUUUGACUUUGUAUGCGGGGAUUUCAGAAUCAGUUAAGGGAAAAAAUUCAGACGAAAGGUAUAAGAUUAGCAAGCAAAUGCUUGUGCUGUUCGGAGCAUGAUAAAUAAAGUAUUGAUCGCCUCUUCAUCAAGAGUGAGCUUGCUAUGGAGGUUUGGAACCAUUUUGAUCGCCUUUUCAAUAUAAGAUCCUUCCAAACGGAUUCCAUUCAGUCCCGGCGGUUUAACAGAUCUCGCAGGAAAUCCCAAGUUGGCUACGUCACGUCUAUGCUUACUAUUUUUUCAGUUUGGGAACUCUGGAAGGAAGGCAAUAGCAGUAAAUUAGAAAACCCAAUAUCUCAACCGGCUGCUAUUAUUCAAAAAAUUACUGACUGGCUGAAAGACUGUUCUCAGCUUCUUGACAUCAGAUCAUCUUGGACGUUUACUGAUUCUAUUCUUCUGGAUGCGCUCUACAUUCAUCAAGCUCGUAAACUCGCAAUUGACUCCAAAAUCAUUGUUGAUUGUGCUUCAAUGAAAAUAAAGAAGCCCCUAAAAUUACCCAUACCUAGACUCAUGGUGGAGCUUCAUUUCAUCCAAAUUAUCGGCUGGCCAUUUCAAAAUCGUCUAUACAUUUAGAGAAAACAACAAAGUGGCAGACUCUUUAGCAAACUUCGGCUGCGAUUCUCAGUUUGACUAUAGGUUUUCCUCUACAGCCGAUCUUCCUCAACAAAUUCAGGUUUUUUCUCUCAAAAAAGUGGGCUUAUUGAAUAUCAUAUUGGUUUGGCUUUGUUCACUUUCAUUUUAUUAGCAGUAAUGUUUUUGGCUGUCUUGUAGCUCUUUGUGAGCAGGUCUAUGUACUUUUUUUUUAUGGGUAAGGUUUUGACAUCCUCCCCCUUAACCCCCGGCGGGGGGCAGAUGGAGUAUUGACGAAGAUGCUUGGGACUGAACACAUCCCCCCUUACUUAGUAGGGCUUAGGAACGAUGUUGGCAAAUGAUUGUUGAAUAUAGUUACUCACCUCACAGCCCAAUUUCCUCUGUGGGGUGUAUACCGGCCGGGUUGCUGCCCGGAGGACCAAACCUGGCUGCUGGGACAAGCUUGGUAUACUGUCUUCCCUUUAUCAGCAGGCGGUAUAGUCGCAUUGCAAUUAUUCCACCAGUACGGGUCACUUUAUCCGGAUGUAACAGUGUAGUAGCAACUGCAGACGGGGUCGGCAUGAGACGUCGGUUUUUGAUUAACAUCCUUUUGCCACUAUCUUUCUUUCCUAAAAAUGCAGCCCCUACCAUUAGUCGUCUAUGGAGAUCUGGGAUUCGGUAUUGAAUCAAUCCAACAUUUCGUUCGGUCACUUCAGCAGUCAUAAAAAAACCUAAUUCUAUUGAGUUGAUUCCAUCUCCUUGACUUUGUUCACAUUCAGUAGCAGCUUGCUGGUGUCCUUUCAGGUCAGGAACUCCUGCAAUAGGCAGCCAGCCUAUUGGAAAAAGACUACUCUCAUCCCUCUCCUUUCAGUCGAGUGAUGCCUUUAGAGCCUAUAGUAUAGCUGAGUAGCUAAGAGCUUCUGGGAAUUGAAAAACGCAGGAAUCGACUUGUUUUGCGUUAAUGGGGCUUUGAGGGACGUCUUCUCUUUCCCUUAUCAAGCAAGUCACACCUAAUCGCCCUUGAUGCCAUCUUGAUAACUGGACUGAAUGUCUCAUCAUAGUCUAUACCCUAUUGCUGGUUGUAGCCUUUGGCUACCACGCGAGCCUUGUAGCGAUCAAUAGUCCCAUCAGACUUUGACUUUCUCUUGUAUAACCACUUGCGAGCCGAUACAAAAAUUUCGAAAUCAAAAUUUCGCAGGAAAAUGGGAUGAACAGAAAGCUUUUGACAAAAUAAAGGAAUACUUCCAUUCUAGUGCCUACAACGCCAGGAAGCCUUUAUUACUAUACCUAUCGGUCACUGAAACCACUAUGGGGUCUAUGUUGGCUUAAUACGAUGAAGACAGACGGAAGUAAAGGGCCAUAUACUACCAACGUAAGAAAAUGACUGACUACAAGACCAGGUAUACCAAUUUUGAGAAAACCUGCUUGGCGGGUAAGGCGGAAAUUGAGGCAUUACAUGCUGUCUUACCCAGUACAUUUAAUAGCUUCCAUGGACCUACAAAAAAAGUAUUUGUUCGAGAAACCCGCCUUAACGUAACGGGAAGGACCGCAAGAUGGUUACUGCUUCUGUCUGAAUUCGACAUCACGUAUGUAACCAAAAGGAAGGGCGAUAGCAGAACACCUUGCACCCUAUCAAGGAGGAACAUGAGUUUAAGGAUUGCUUCCCAGACGAGGAAAUAGCUGUCACAGAAGAGGAGCUGAAAGCCACUUGACUGUAAGGAGAGGAGGGCAUGGAAAUUUGACUUUGAUGGCACGACUAAUCAAAAUGGGUACGGAGUAGGGGCAUUGCUGAUUGCACCUGAUGAAUCGCACACCCCCAUUGCCAUUAAGCGGAACUUUUAAGGAACUAAGAAUACCACUGAAGAUGAAGCAUGUAUCCAUGGAUUAAAGACUGCCUUGACCCUGGGAAUAUAAGAAAUCGAAGUAUUUAGGGAUUCGACGCUUAUCAUCUGCCAAACUCAAAAGAAAUGAAAAACCAAAUAUGAAAAACUUUUGACAUACCAUGCUUAUCUUGAAAAGCUCACUGAGCAAUUCAAGAAAAUAAGUUUCUCUCCACUACCCAGAGAAAAAAGAAGUUCGCGGAUGCAUUGGCAACACUGGCCUCCAUGAUAAACAUUCCUGAGGGAAAGUCCGCCCAAUCAUGAUAGAACAAAGAAGCAGCCCGGUGUAUUGCAACCUAAUAGAAAUUUUUGAGUGGACUCCCGGCAUGUUCAAUAGGGAUCUUUUGGCCAUUGAAAGGGCACCCAACGGUAAACCAUGGUUUACUGACAUCAGGGAAUAUAUUGAACACCAAACGUAUCCCAAACAUGCAACGGAAAAUGAUAAGAAGACAAUCAGGAGGUUGGCAAUGCAAUUCGUUGCGCGGGGAUGCGAUUCGCCAAGCAGGGGCAAAUCUUUCCACUAUCUCUAAAGGGGGCCCCUGGGCCACUUGACUGUAAGGAAAGGGGUUCGACUCAAUACUCUUGUGUGUAUCCUUUGGCCACCAAUCUAGCCUUCAACCCCUUAACUGCUCCAUCAGCUUUUUGUUGACUUUAUAGACCCACUUGUAGCCAAUGGCUUCUUUCCCUAGAGGAAGAGAGACUCAAUCCCAAGUAGCAAACCAUUCUAGUGCUACGAUCUCUUUCUGCAUAGAGCUGCCAGCAGGGUUGAGAUAUGGCCUCUGCAAAGGUAUCGGGUUAAAAAAGAUGGAUGAAAUUGCAAAAAAUACUCGUGGGAAGUAGACAGAGACUUAGUUGAUACAAACCUAUGAAUAGGAAAACGAAGACGGGUGGAUCUACGUACCCCGAGAAUAGAAGCUAGAGAACCUAAGUCUGAAGAAGAGUCUUGGUUCGAAGUAUAGGGAGAGAGGGAGACCACUGAAUCAGUUGGCUCAGCUCCGAAAACUGAGUGACGAGAAUCUGUCUUCACAAACCUGCGAAACUUUCCCUGAUCACUCUGGUCACCCGGAUCUUGCUGACUCUAUUAAAUCGGAGAAUUCUGAUGCUGUCUCACAUAAACUCCUCAAUAGUUCCACCCCUCCCCUCUAAGGGGAGACAGGGGAACAUAAUGGCCCACCAUCACAGGGAAUCUCAAAGCCCCGAGCUCCGUAGUAAGUUCGAAAAAGGUGACAUGUCGAGAAAGGUGGAAUCGUCGUGUAGAAGGAUCAUUAACACUUGUAGCCCUUUUGAGAGAGGGGUACCCCAACCUCACUCAAGAAAACACAUAGAGUGAGAUGUAGGGCUCAGUUUGUCUUGUGCAGGAGAUGGAAUUUUCACAAAGCACGUGCAUCCGAAUAGUCAUCGGUUUGAAUAGUCAUCUCUUUGAAAGAGAGUAAAACGCCCAAAGAUAACGUGUAGAGGAGAUCGCUCACCAAUAAUAGGAGCCAUCGUCUUCUUACUCAGAUAAGCGGCCAUCAUUAAAUUGGCUUUACUAGGGAUCCUAUAAUAGGGAACUUUCAUUCCCAGUAGAAGUCCUCGAGCAACUUGACUAAUACUAAUAAAUAAGGGGAAGGCCCAACAUUUUCUAUUAGUAUAAGGAAGGCGCUAGCUAGCGCCCAACCUAUACAAGGGCUUUCCACCUCCAUUUGGUCGUGCUGCUAUGAUGUAACGUGCAGUCGUCCCAAGGCAGCAGGAUGUAUGGUAUAGGGCCCCCUAUUUUAUCUCCCUUAAAGUCCUUUAUGGAUUUCGAGUCGGGAAUAGAGCUGUGGCUUAUUCGGCGCUAUAUCACAAUGCAUUCUCGGGCAUAGCUGUUCACGAAAGGUGGCAUGGGACAUCUGUCAGCGGCGGGAGUCUUACAUCCGAGCGAGAGGUCAGACCAAUCCCAUUCAUCCUGGUCUGAUCCGAACAGAUCUUGUUGAAUGAAUUGAUCCAUUCCAUUGUUGUAUGCCCUACUUCUUAAUCAAUUUAUUCCUACUCGGACCCGCCGUACUUCCUUUGACUACUCCUGAGAUAUAGUGGAAAGAUUUUUUUAUGGUGGAGAGUGGGGAGUGAAAAGACCAAUGCAGCAGAGAAGGACUGCAUGAAUCGGAAUCCGCUUAUUAAGAUUAAGACAGACGACCGAGAAAGAAAGGCUCCGCGUUCGAACAUUGGUUGAUCUUAGCUUAGCGUGCUAGCCGCUGCUUCAUUUCGUAUAGUGAUAACGCUUUCUCUUUCUUAACGCUCCGCCCCCCUUGUAUAGUAAGGGCUACUUUGGUUGCGCGGCUUUCUCUUAUAGGGUGACUUGACUCAGCUUGACCUACUUGACUCAGCGGUUAGAGUAUCGCUUUCAUACGGCGAGAGUCAUUGGUUCAAAUCCAAUAGUAGGUAAAACCGACCGAAACCCCUGCUUUUGCCAGCAUGACAGCAAGCACGGACUGGCAGCAAGGAGUCAAUUGAAUGAUCAAGGCAUCGGUUGCUUCCACCUGUGGCCUUCUUCGACCGCCUUGACACCUUAAUAUCAAGGAACCCCCCCUAUUCCACAAGUAGGUGGAGACCUGGAGGGUCGGAAACCUCAACGGGAAACCUUUCACCGCGCCACACGAUUCUUUCGCGAAGCGCUCUUUCCACUCCUGCCCCCGCAAGCAAAGAGGUUUCAAGAUAAGAUAGCAGGCGACCAAAAAGCUCCGAGCAAAUCUUCUAGAGAGCGUACCCUUAGUUUCGACUCUUUCUCUAUUCUAAAACGAAAAAUCGAAAAAAGAAAAAGAAAGAGAUUUUUUAAAGAAAAGAAAAACGGGUCAACAACACCAACAUGUGUAUUUGAGAGAUUGUCCUCUUGGGCGGCCGAGAGUGUUGUGUUAUUGUUAUGAGUGUUGUGUUAUUGUUAUGUAAGACCAAGGAGGAUCCUAUCCUAAAGGAGAAGGAGGAGGAGUAGGAGCUAGCCUUAGGGGCGGAAUCGAUUCUAAAAUACAAAAAUGAACGACUUACUAGAAGCUGUCGCGCCUUUUGUGACAGGUUUACAAGAAACUUUGAGCGGGAGAAGGGGGCGAACCCGCAGGUUCCCCUUGCCCAAGAAUUUCGGGUAGAGGAAAAUGGGGACCCUGCGAUGGGGCUUCAGGUAGGGCAUCGAGAACCUUUUUUUCUAAUAAGAAAUGAGAGUAUGGAGACCUCUAUGCUUAAUCGAAUAAGAAAGCUCGAAAGGGAAAAUAGCGUAUUUCUGCUUGAAAAAGCAAAAGGAGCCUAUUGGGAAGAAGUAAAAAGCACCCUGAACAAUUCUGGCUCUCAGAAAGAGUAUUGCAGGUUACUCUGUUUCGAGAACAGAGACCUGCAAAUCAGGGAGAGAAAACACGAAUGUUUUUUUCUCUUUCAAGAGAUUCUUUCUCGGAAUCGUGCCUUGAGGGGGGAUGCUGCCAAUCCUACCGAGGACUUUAUGGAUUUCUUUUCCGAGAAGCGAGAGGUACUGGACAAAAACCCCGAAUGGGGCCCGGUAGAGAAAGACAUAAAGGAAAUCGAGUUCGUUGAGCAAGUAAAACUCGAUCUUGCAGCACGCGGGCACGAGUCUCCCUAUAUAAAGCAAAUUCUUGGGUUAGGGUGAAAUCCGGAGAUCUACGAAGGAACGCUAGCUAUAUGCUUAACACAUGCAAGUCGAACGUCUACGAAAAAGCUGUCGUAAAGUUUCGUUCUUCGUUCCUCUCCUCUUGGUCGAAUUACUUCGUUCCUAUUUCUUGCUUUUUUUUCCGGUAUGCCGCUCCGCCAGCAAGGAGCGAAAGAACAAAGUUUUCUGUGGUGAUGUCAGAAUUUGCACCUAUUUGUAUCUAUUUAGUGAUCAGGCCGCUAGUUUCUUUGAUCCCACUCGGUCUUCCUUUUCUAUUUUCUUCCAAUAGUUCGACCUAUCCAGAAAAAUUGUCGGCCUACGAAUGUGGUUUCGAUCCUUCCGGUGAUGCCAGAAGUCGUUUUGAUAUAAGAUUUUAUCUUGUUUCCAUUUUAUUUAUUAUUCCUGAUCCGGAAGUAACCUUUUCCUUUCCUUGGGCAGUACCUCCCAACAAGAUUGAUCCAUUUGGAUCUUGGUCCAUGAUGGCCUUUUUAUUGAUUUUGACGAUUGGAUCUCUCUAUGAAUGGAAAAGGGGUGCUUCGGAUCGGGAGUAACCACUAGUGAUAGGGCAAAAAUAGGGGGGAAGGACAAAGGAAAGAGCGAUGCCUACAUUAAAUCAAUUGAUUCGUCAUGGUAGAGAAGAAAAACGGCGCACGGACCGUACUCGAGCUUUGGAUCAAUGUCCCCAGAAGCAAGGAGUAUGCCCGCGUGUUUCAACGAGAACACCGAAAAAACCUAAUUCAGCUCCACGUAAGAUAGCCAAAGUACGGUUGAGCAAUCGACAUGAUAUAUUUGCUCACAUUCCAGGCGAAGGUCAUAAUUUGCAGGAACAUUCUAUGGUCUUAAUAAGAGGAGGUAGAGUGAAAGAUUCGCCAGGUGUGAAAUUUCAUUGUAUUCGAGGAGUCAAGGAUUUGCUGGGAAUUCCGGAUCGAAGAAGAGGCAGAUCAAAAUAUGGUGCGGAAAAACCAAAAUAGAUAUGAAUGGAAGAUGCCUCUGGAACUCCUUUUUCUCGGUAAGGAUAGGCACGAAGUCACUCGACUGAAAGGAGAGGGAACAACCACAACGUUACACCCCAAAACUAUACGGAGCCCUUCCGAAUGACCUAGAAUAUAGUCUACCUCACUCUUUCUUGGCUAGUCUAGUAGACUCUAUUCGCCCGUGGAGGUGAGUGGAGGAAGCUGUGAAGCUUCUAACUCUAAUUACCAACUCGGGACUAUAUUAGUAUAAAGCGGCAUUAUCCCUUUACUAAAUCCUCCCUCGCUUACCACCAUGAACAAGACCUUUCCCGAUCAAUUGGUUUUUCAUUAUUUAAUAAGAAAGAUGGCAAAUCCUACCAUUGUAUUUCCUUUUUUCAUUUGGAUCCUAUCAACUUAGAGAGUGUCUAGAUUAAGACACUUCUCGUAUUCGGACUAUCAAGAUCGACUAAAUGAGAGUGUGGCUGACAUGGUAAAAGAACAAAUCAGCCACACUUUUCUGGACCCCUUUUUUUACUAGCUUUAAUUCCACUCCCAGCAGGACACACUACACUUAAUGUAAUAAAGAUUUUUCUAGGAGAACAAAAUGAAGCUAAUUUACAGCUCUUGUCAUAUAUCUAUAAUUGCUUCCAAUAAUUAUGAAUAUAUAGUGAAUUUUUUGCGCAAGCCGUACAUAUUGCGUUAACAAUAAUGGGGGGAGGUGGUUUUGGUUAGUUAAAUAUAAGUUGUAGUUUGAGUCCUCUCGAGGACGGGCCCCCUUUUUUUGGGAAAGGAUAGUGGGUAGGGCUUAUCUUUCCCUUCAACCAGCCACUCUUUUAGUUCCCAAAAUAUAUAUAAUCCAGAAUCCUUUUAAGCGCCUUAUCACGAAAGUGACCGAGCAAGCAGAUGAUUUCCCCUAAGGCACCGAUGGACCAACGCCUUCGUAUGUAUAUCACCCGAAUUUCUUGAUUCACGGCGUCGAGUAUUUGCACUUUAGAUCUCAUGACUCGACCUGUAGACGGUGAUACCGCCACCUUUGGCGACGUGAUCCUUUCUUAUUCACUUGUGCUGGUGGCGGAGAGGUCGGCGCCUGUGUUCUGGCUUGGGGGGGUGGGUCUUCCCUUUUUCAAUUAUGACGUACUCGGUUAGGUUGCCAUCUAGGUCUCGGUCGGGGGCGACUUCCAAAUUAUGGUCUCAUUCUUCCCUUGAUUCACGAUCCUUGCAGCUGAAUUAAUCCCCCAUGUGUCGGGACCUGAACCGUGGUGGUGCUCUUCUACAGCUUCUUCUACAUAGGCUCCUCCACUUCUGGAAUUGAAAAAGGAAGCUUUUCCAAGCCCGAACAAGAUCAAAAGAACUGAUCGCUUUCUACAAUAAGAAAAUAGUUAUCUACUAGCCAUGUUUUCUUUCUGUGAUAAUGCCGUAGCGUAGGACUCCAGGAAUUUUGGAAGCUGAACAUGCUCAAAAGAUGCCUAAAGCUUUUAGCUUUGAUCAUUCGACGCCGAGUGAAAGGGUUCCUCGCUAAAUAAAACCAAAGUUCCACAAUCCCUUACCUACCCCAGCCCAUCCCUUCACCCGGAUAAUGACCACUUAAGCACCUCUGGAAGCGAACAGAAAGAGAUGGCAGAGUCCGCCUCGUUCUUAUACGACUUUCUUUCCCUGUGUUCUAUCACUCACGGAUGGCCUACCCAAGGAAGAAAUCCAGGGCAGUCACCUGUAUGUUAGGUAGCCUCCUCACUAAACACAAGUAAGAGCUAGCUUGCAUUGAGAAUGAGGGCCCUCCUAAGGACUUGUUUUCAGCUCCUUACUUACAGAUAAGAGUCAAAGUUCAAACAGCCCACUUUGCUCCGUUGCUCUGCUCGCUCCGACGAUUCUACAUACCGGCCGUAAAGAGAGAGCGCAGUGUGAUUGGCUCUAUAAUGGAAAUAAUGGAUAUGCUCUGUCGUAGAGCUUCGCUAGCAGUGUCGAGCUUUGCUCGCGAUUCGACUGGAACUAAGGACCUGAACUGAAUGGAAUUUCAGAGCUCUCGCGCGGCUAUCUAAAGAAUGAAGAACCGCUACUGAACGAGAGCGAGUGAAGUGAGUAAGCACGGAACGAGCUAAAUAGAAGUUGUAGCAACGAGCUACUAAGGAAUGACUGUGUUGAAGUUUCAAACGUAGAGCUCGGUACUUUCAAUUUCAUGAUUGUAUUCCAGGCUGAGCACAACAUCCUUAUGCACCCAUUUCACAUCUUAGGCCUAGCUGGUGUAAAAGGCGGCUCCCUAUUCAGUGCUAUGCAUGCUUCCUUGGUAACUUCUAGUUUGAUCAGGGAAAGCACAGAAAAUGAAUCUGCUAAUGAAGGUUACAGAUUCGGUCAAGAGGAAGAAACUUAGAAUAUCGUAGCCGCUCAUGCUUAUUUUGGCCGAUUGAUCUUCCAAUAUGCUAGUUUCAACAACUCUCGUUCGUACACAUCUUCUCUUUGUUUCCCGUGCCUCUAGUGAGUUAGAGACAGAGUUCGAAAAGGUCAAAUCUUUGAUGAUUCCAUCAUCUAUGAUUGAGUUGCGAAAACUUCUGGAUAGGUAUCCUCCAUCUGAACCGAAUUCUUUCUGGUUAAAGAAUCCCUUUCUAGUAGCUCUGGAACAAUUAGGAGAUUCUAUACGGGGUUUUGCUUCUGGCGGCAACAUGCUUGGCCCCGCUUAUGGGGUCAAAUCAAUACGUUCUAAGAAGAAAGAUUGGAAUAUCAAUCUCAUCGAGAUCAUCGAUCUCAUACCAAAUCCCAUCAAUAGAAUCACUUUUUCGAGAAAAUACGAGACAUCUAAGUCAUACAAGUAAAGAGAUCUAUUCAUUUUUCAGAAAAAGAAAAAACGGGAUUGGAUUGAUGAUAAAAUAGAAUCCUGGGUCGCGAACAGUGAUUCGAUUGAGGAUGAAGAAAGAGAAUUCUUGGUUCAGUUCUCCACCUUAACGACAGAAAAUAGGAUUGAUCAAAUUCUAUUGAGUCUGACUCAUAGUGAUCAUUUAUCAAAGAAUGACUCUGGUUAUCAAAUGAUUGAACAACCGGGAGCAAUUUACUUACGAUACUUAGUUGACAUUCAUAAAAAGCAUCUAAUGAAUUCUGAGUUCAAUCCAUCCUGUUUAGCAGAAAGACGGAUAUUCCUUGCUCAUUAUCAGACAAUCACUUAUUCACAAACUUCGUGUGGGGAAAAUCGUUUUCAUGGAAAACCCUUUUCGCUCCGCUUAGCCUUAUCCACCCUCUAGGGGUAUUUUAGUGAUAGGUUCCAUAGGAACUGGACGAUCCUAUUUGGUCAAAUACCUAGCGACAAACUCCUAUCUUCCUUUCAUUACGGUAUUUCUGAACAAGUUCCUGGAUAAGAAGCCUAAAGGUUUUCUUCUUGAUGAGAUCGAUAUUGAUGAUAGUGACCUUGAUACGGAGCUGGAACUGCUAACUAGGAUGGAUGAGGAUGAGCUAGGCUUUCAACAGCAUAGGGCACAUUCGUGAAGUGCAGCUUGACAGCAAUAAGGAAUAAGUCUCCCCUAUCACCAACCUGUACCUUCUUUCAAUGCACCAUUUAAGGCCAAAAAGCAUGGCCUUUGCUUCUGCCCAGUUGCUGGUUCCAGCACCCAAGGGAAUGGAGUAAGCCAUAAUAAGAGCACCCAUACUAUCUCUGACAACACCACCACCUCCACAAAUACCAUCUCUACAGCGACCAUCACUAUUAAGCUUGACAAAGAGCAGUGGUGGCUUGAUCCACCUAACCAAAGCCACAGAUUUGGAAGUCAUUGAAGCAUCACACAGAUGACAGAUACUCUUCCAGCUCUCACCUACUCUAACCUUGCCAAACUGAGAAUGCAGCAGGUGAGAUAAGGAGUAUGUGAUCAAUGCCUUGGAUCUAUAACAGAUACCACUUCUUCUUUCCUGUUUGGGCAUUUGGAACUGUUAGCAGUUGAGGACGAACUUCAGGCUUUCUAUGAGUGGAAAUCCAAUUAGCGAACCCUCUUUCGUACCUCCGCCUUUCCCUUCUAGUCAUGGUCACCAUUUUGUUAUCACCGCUACAGACUACUUCACCAAGUGGGUUGAAGCAAUACCAAUAGCCUUAAGAUUAAGAUUGGAAAGUCGCUUUUAAGCCCAAGUGCAACCAAACUAGCAGGAAAUGAAAGCAGAAAUGGAUCUGUGUCACUGUCUGUAUGCUUGUCUUCAAGAAUCAAUCAAAAAAGAAGCAAUCAACAAAUCAAGUUGAGGUAUCAAAAUCCUGCCUUCUUUCGUUUCGACCCUCAUCUAUGAGAUGAGGAAUCCCUCAUAGCUAGAUUCAUCAGUAGCUUAGAAACUAGGAACUGGAUGAGGGGAAGUCAAUCUAAUCUCGGCCUCGCCCAUUCCAUUACGGCAUUCUCUUCUUGAUCACCGGAUAUUGAUAGAAAAACAGUCACACCAAAAGAAAGACGAAGGGGGAGCCCGCGGCAGGGGUUCCAAACCUAGGCUUAAUGCCCCAACGAGCACAGUCAGAAGAGAAGCCUUUGGGCAACUCGAUAGGAAUCAGAGGAGAAAGAUAGAGUCAUUGCCGUUCUAACCGCUGUCAGAAGACGUGAAGUGAGGGCGUGGUUCAAGUCACAUCGUAUGCUCGUCUUCAUAAAGGUUUGACUUUGAUUGUUUGUUGCCAAAGAGAAGAGUUCAUUGUUUAGGUCCUACUCUGGGUCUGUAGCUGACAGCGGCAGUGAUUUUCUUAUCGAUUAUUGUAGAUUAAUAAGACCCAAAACCGGUAGCGAAUAGAAUAAAGAAGUUGCUUCGCCGAAUGCCGAUUACUAGGUAAAUCGCCCACUAUAUAUAGCACCUAUCGGACGGGGAAACUUUAUUGAAUUGAGUUCGGUGUAGAAGGUUCAAGCAAGGGAUGUGGAUUGAGUCCAAGUUCUGGAGAAAGAGGGGGCCUUUUUCAUCUUUCCUACGAUCAAAUUCUUCAUAUCCGAAGCGCAGGAAGGAUCUGACUAGAAAGUCGUCUUGCUGAUGCGAUAGUCCUCUGGGUAUGGCCACAUUCGUCUCGACAAUAGGAUAGGGAAAGAAAAUCCAUAGACGAGACCAACUGGGACCGAACCUUUCUAUCUUCUUCUUUCUCUUUUUGUUCCCGCCUGCCGAGGACCUAUGUUUCAAUAACGAUGAAGGGCUACUAUACUAGAAGGGAAAGGGCUUCAGGAGAGAUGGUUAGAUUGGAUGGGCGUAGUUGAUCGAUCGAACUACGAUGAUUGGAAUGAAGACAGACAGACUUCCGUGCGAAAGACAGAACGGCAAAAAUUCUUCUUGCAUUUUUCCUAAACUUCGUCAAGCCUAUCCGCUCAUUUGUUCCAAACCAGAGUUUCUAGUUUCAAGAUCGCGCUUUUAGUACGCGUGUGGUGAGAUGUUCCAAGCCCGGUAUCUACUGAUUUUGCCAUUCCUAUGAUUCAAAGGAUUCACCAGCUAUAGGGCAGUUAGCGCAGACAUCAAGUAAGGGCUCGUAGGCUACUCAUGCCAAAUGAACAUCCUAUUUUUUUCAAGGGGAAGAGAAGAGCUCUAGGUCAAGCCUCUUAUUCUAUUUAUUCUAUUGGGUCUACCCGUCGGGCAGGUAAGCGAGACAGAAGUCUCAUUGUUCGUGGUGUUGCAAUGAAUUCAUUGGAUGAUAAUAGCGUAUAAAGAUUUUCUUUCUACUUCCUCCUCUAUCUAAGUGUCAAGUUUUAGCUCAUAGGUGGUUCGUUUUGAAGUGACUUCAUCUAUAUGUUUAACACAUGCGUGUACUACUCGUUGUGUAGUCAAAUUUCCUGUCAGUCACGAUUGGCUUUGAAUCAAUAUAAAGCUUAGUAGAUCGUGAGUCUUGGUUCUUAGCGAAAUGCUACGCGCUAUCUUACAUACGAUGAUUUAGAUCACCAAAAAGGAAUUCCAGUAAUGUCGUACGGUCGAAAGACAAUGUCAUUGAAGGGCAUAAUAUAGGACUGCUCACCUGCGUAAAGACAUUGAAUUUGUUCUCAGUGAAAGAGGUCUCGAGGAGAGGUACGAAGUCACUCGACUGAAAGGAGAGGAAGAAAAACCAAGCUCUGUCAGUCAGACCUCCUCAGAAGUACGUGAUUUCGCCUUUCCAACCAAUUGAUGUAGGAAGAACCCUGGACCUAUUCAUUCCUUCUCAGACUCGCCUAGCGGUCUUUUUCAUCUCGUAAAGCGGUAUUUCUCUCUUUUAUCAUCUCUUCAAGGACAUAGAGCUUCGGUUCCCCUUCUUCCUAAUGGGCUACGAGGACCCUAGGACUGAGGACUCUUAGAAAGAAGGAUUACCGUCUUGCGUACCGUACUGGCUUACCCUUAUUAAGAACAGACUGGCUGACUUCCUGGCCUUUUUUAUUCAAAGAAGGCAAAGAAGGAGAGGAAAGCACAGACGGCAAAGAAAGGGAAAGCUCCUACUCAAGUCAUCGAGUGACAUAUAAAACAAGGAGACAUCUUUAUGCAUGCGCAAAAGGCGAUUAAUCGAGAUAGUGCAGAGGUGACAAAGCAUGCAUGAGGUUUCCUUCAAUCUGGUGGUCCCAACAAAAAAAACAUUAGAACUCGCGGACUAAUGAGUAUAGGACCUAAUUAGGGGUGGUUGGCGCCUAUAUACCACUUCAAACGCUCUUUGUUUGGUUUCAGAAUUUCAAGUGGUAUUGUACCACUAUUCUGCCCAUGGUAACCAAUGUUCCCAUUCCUUUGGAAUAUCGCUUGUAAAGCAUCCCAGGUAUUUCUCUAAGCACCGGUUAACCACCUCCCUCACUGUUUUGUUUGCAUGAGAUUCCACUUAUUCUAUGUCAUUUUAAGCCUUAGGUAGUUGUUCCUCCCGCAGUUCUUUUCUUGGUCUGAUAGUCUUGUUAACGCUUUCUAAUCGACUUUCUAUCUUGUACAGAUCUUCCUUGCCUUUUCUUCCUCGUCCAGUGACGGAUUUGCUCCCUCUUUCAGUAAGUCUUCUUCUUUAGUAAGAAGAGUACUGCCUAAAGCAAUGUGAGUUAAAGUGUCUAUAUGGGAACCGGCCGUAAACUCCUUUUCUGGUGUAGAUCCCCUUCCUUAUGAAUCAGUUCCCCGGGUACAAGGAAUGAGUGCUCCUAAUGUCUUUUCUCUCUUUCGGUCGAGUGAGUCACGUGCGUUCAAGUUAAAGCUAAAGAAGAGAUAGUAACUCGACCUUAGGCAGAGGUUUGAAAACCAUUCCAUUGGGAGUUCCAUCAUUCAGACGGACAAGACAGAUGGCGAGGCAAGAAGCCCCGCAAACGCAAUUCAAUAGGGAAGUGCGCUUUCCACCUAAGCUGGUGACUUUCCUUAGCCAUUCAUUGCGUCUUGAGCCACACCGUCCUCUAGCCCUGCCCCCUUUCCAUAAGUAAAUUCUCCUUCUAGUCUCUGACUACCUGAUUCAUUAGCCUACAAAAGGUUGCUGGCGCCAAAGGGCAUGACAAGGAAGUCAGAAGCUCCAUACCAUACCUCGUGAGAGAAGUCGUCUUUGAUUCAUCCCCCUCUGCAAUCCUGACUUCCCAGUACUCCGAUCGGAGAUCCUAUUUUCUUUAGUAAAGAGCCUUGCUAGCGGAUCAAAAGAGUGGGCGACAAGCAGAAUGGAAUAGUAGUUCCGAAAGGUCGCCUUAUUGACUGCUAGGGAGUCUACCCACAUUCGAAGAGUGCCCUGCUCUACGAAAGGAAAACGGGCUCGGGCGACAGAUCAAUAGUCGACUCAGGGUGGGUAGCAGUGGAGUCAAGAAGCCUGUCAAGAACAUGAAUCAGUUCGUUGGGGCUAAGACUUUUCUUCCUUCCUUCUCCAGGUUAGCUAGGUGAUACGCCCCGAAUCGUCCACCAAAGAUGUCGCUAGAUGGGGGUAUCAGUUGAAGCCUAACUCUUUUUUCUGCCUUGGUCUAGCCUCCUUUCGUAAAGUUCGGAACGAUAGAAGCUUUCAUGGCUCCUUCCGGAAAGGGAUCGUAAUGUGAGCGAGUUUGAAGACUUCCGUCGAAGGCACUUUCGAACUGGCAAGACUCACAGCCCCUUUCUUUAUGGAAGGAAGGAAGAUAGGUCUAAGCUCGACCGGAAAGAAGAUUCGCUCGCCCGAGACUCGACCCCCGAUUUCCCAUACUAUUGAAACCAACAAGAAAAAGGACUUGCAAGGUCUUGCUUAUCGACAAUCCCACUAAGGCACCUACCCAUACCUAUAAGCCAAGCAACUAAUAAGAAAACGAAAGGUACCUUUGUAGUAGAGCUCAACGCUUAGAAGUUAAGAAGUAAAGCACCUUCUAUUGAGGAACUACUCCUAGCUAGCUCUACUUGAGAAAUGAAUAACUUAACCCUUUGCUUGCUACUAUUUGUGCUGAGCAAGAGCUUGGGCUACGUCAAGUUAAGCCGUUGCGCGCUAGCAGUUACUCUUCAGAGAUAUGGAACUCCAAGCCGAUCAACAGGCCCAAGGAGAGUUCAAGGACUUCUUGCUUCGUCAGAUGCUUUCCCGGACAACUUUGUUAGCGCUUCACUGAUUAGUGAAUACUAUAUCUAACUACUGAACCUAGUGGCUUAUCUCGUUCUAGUGACUUACCGUACGAGGAACAACAGAAACUUCCACUACAACUCCAUCCAUCGGCAAAUAUCCUGUACCGUGGCACGGAAUUAGGAAAUAGCAGCGGAUCUUAGCUCUUUUCACGAAUCCGCAGCAAGAAGACGCAGAUAUUUUCAUGAAGAAUAAGCUCUUAGAUGUAGCAUUACCGGACGUGAAUCUAAAGGUUAGAACUAAUAAUCUAGCUCUUUGCAAUAAGGGCUUUUUUCAGGACAAAUGCCAAAUGCAAAGAAAGCAGAAGAUGCGGCUUAGCCAGCUCGCUCUAGUCCCCUACGAUAAGGAUGAGAAAAGGCCAAGGAGUGAAUAGGAGGGAAUAGGGGCAUCAGUCUUAGCUCUUACUGUUCGAGAAUCAACUGUACAUGAAUAGGCUCUUCCUUAGGCCUUCAAGGAGGAAGCGAGGGUGGGACAAGUGAAUCCGAUGUGAGGGAAGGAUUGCUGCGUCAGUCGAAACUAGGGCUUAUGCAAUUGAAUCAGAAAUGCACAUGUAAGAUAAGAAUGGAAGGAGACAGCCAAAGCAGGGAUUGAUCUAUUCCAAAACCACUGGGCAGGGACCUAUUCCUAAGCCAUUUUCAGUAGACAGACAGGGAAAAGGACUAAAAACAUUCUUCGCAAGAUGAGAGCAAGCAUUAGAUGAAGCCGACUUUGUCCAUCUCGCAUAUCAACUUCCUCUAUCGAUAGCGUAAAGCCGCCCAACACAGAGAACGAACAUGGUCGGUAGGUAAUUAAUCUUCGUUUGGAUAGCAGUACGAUACACGCAUCAAGAUAUGAUCUUUGCUUUUCCAUCCCUGGCAUUCAAAAGAAAGGGGGGAAAGGGAGAGUGAAAAGCACCCUGUAGAUAAAGAUCGAGAGCCUGUGGACCGGGGUUGAACCAUAUCCCCCUUCUGUUAAUCGAGAGUGUGACGAAGUGAACCGAAAAUAUUGUGCGGUAAACUGAUGCUGUGAGGCGGAGAUAGCUGCACUUCUUGUUCUUUUUUCCCUUCGAUUCUUUAACGCUUCUUUCAGGUCUCGCUACCCCUGACCAUAAGAAGAAUGUUAUACUAUAAGAGCGAGGUGCAAGUGCUGCAUAAAGUUCUGUUAUCCGUUGUUCAAGCCUUUCUUUGAGCAGAGCGCUUUCUUUCCGGUCAUUGGCAAGCGCAGAUGGGCUUUCACACCCGCUUAUGUUGUGGGUGGGAUGAAGGCAUCUAUCUUAUUAUAUUAUAUGGAAGAAGAUCGUUAGAUGGUUAGCGGCUAGAACAAAACAAGGGGCGUUGUAUGGAGGUUUCCAAGCAGAGGUGCGAAGCAAUUGAGAUGCAUAUAGAAUAGAUGGUAGGGUUCCAAACCUCGCCUAGCACCGAAAGAGAAGGCCUUGUUCUGCAGGGUACGGCCCUGGACAGUGGAAAAAUAGAAUAAGAUGGAGCCUACCUACUUGGUUCGGACGAAGUAGAUAGAUCAAAGGAAUGGAAUCCAGGUGGCUCUUAUGCCACUUUUGAUGGUCUCGGUUCGGACGAGAUAGAUGGAAAAGCAUUAGGUCGAUGGCCGGGGUAAUUUCCUUCCCACUCCGAGGCAUAUUGAUCUGGAUCCCUGGGAACAGGUCUUAGAGAAGUAGAUGGCUCGGCUCCACUGGGAGAUGGGAAACUAUAUGCGGAGUUAGAGGCAGAGGGACUUGUACUUGGCUAACCGUCAGAGGGAUGGUAAGUAGAUUGUUCGAUAGCUUACCCACGAAGAUGGAUUUUAUUCUGGUCGGCCACCAUAGUACUAAGACUGAAAGCCUGCUAGGCAGUCUACACAGAAGGGAAGUCACCAAACGUGGGAAAGAGUACCUUUUUCUUACUCGAAGGAACCGCUACCAUAGGAUUUAAGACAAGGAUGCCUUAUUGUUUGGACUUUCAUUAAGGAUAGACCUAGGAUUGAAAGAGUCGCAAUAGAUGGAUAGCAUCUUCAAGGGAUUGAUGGCUUCUUCAGGAAAGGCUUGGCCUCCAGAAGAUGAGGACUUUUUCGGAAGGAUAGAGUCAUUGUAUUCCCGAGUACUGAUUCUCUUUUAGGAUGGUAUUCUAUUGAAUGAAGGCUACCUUCUUACUUGGCAGGAUGGGGUAGACAGAUAUAGUACGAUUGGAUUGAUGGAUGGUGCACUAUCCUUCUCCCAAUCAUUUCUCAGCAAAACCAAUGAGUACAACUUAUUAAAGGGAAACUACGAAAAAGAUCUUAGAGCUAGCUGUCUCAAUCAUCCACAGCUCCGGGAUUAAUGUGCUCUUUUUUAUGCUGGAGUCAUAGCUUAUCUAAAUUCUUAUUCCCACCCCUACAAGGUCUUUAAAUAAAAUGAAGAUAAGACGAUAACUUAUCGUCUGCAUCUAUAACUACUUCUGGUUUAUAUACACUGCUAAAAGGUUGAAUUCCAAACGAUUAGGUUAGGGCAGGGUGGAGUUCCUCUUUAGCACUGUUCUUUUAGGUGUAGUUCCGUCAAGGCGCCAAGAUCAAACUCCGGCCGGGAGGGGCCGAAGACUUGAUAGGUGUAGUGACUUAGAUUCCAUGGAGUACCGUCAGACUUUCAUGUAGUUCCGUCUAAUCAAGGUAUAAAAGAAAAAGAAAAGCCGACCUUUUCUUUUCCACGCUUUUUUACAUUUCAGUUCAGAUACGUUGCUCGACUUGCGCCUUUGCACGCUCGACCGCUCCCCCAUCCCGCCUGGCCCAUUCUAGCGGGGAAUAACCUCAAUCCGUAGAAGCUGCAUCCUCAAGGGCUGAGUGAUUAUGCCAGUGAUCAAGAUAUCAACCACAUAAAUAGGUAGUAAAAUGGUUAUGGACCCACGAUGACGAAAGGUAAGUGAUGCGUCGGACUUAGAAAAUCUUAGGCCAAACUAAAUGUUGAUCAGUGAAGACAAGAAAGCUUUUAAGUGUAGACGACUACUUGUACUUGAAAUUCCAUUCCUUUAUCCGGUGGGAGGGUUUAGAGCCAGUUAAGCCAAUAGCAUAUCUAGCAAAAGCUUCAGUAACACCAGCUACAUCAGUAGAUCAUUGAUUAGCAUACCUCCUCUGAAUAGUCUACGUGGACCCUAGUUUCUAUUACUAUUAAUUCGAAUUAAUCCAGUAAUGCAUACAGCCUUUACUCUCUUAAAGAGCAGGAGGUUUAGCGUCAACUCAUUCAAUGAAUGUUCUUUCAUUCACCACACGGAUGAAUCCUACUCUGUAUUUUCCAGCGGACAGUCAUUUGUCUAAAGAGAAUAGACGUAUAGCAGCUCUCUCUCAUAACAGAAUGAAAGCAAGCAAGAACGAAAUGAGCGCUUACCCUAUCGACCGAAGCUACUAUCCUAAAAUAAGAAACUCCUAAAUUAAAGAACUACAGGAAAGGUAAUAUACUGAGCUAGCCUCCCGUUAUGCACCAAUGUUUGAAGAGGACCGUUAACCUUUACCAAAAGAAAGAAGGGCUAUUGGUCAGUUUCCUAUAGUUGACCGAUAGAGCUCGACCGAUUGAGACAGGGCAGAUGCGACCGAUGGAAGGGAUCUAAUUUGAAGAAGGAAGUCAUUUGUGGACUGAUUCCGACCCUUUACCAGAAGACAAGAGAUUCGCGGUAUGGCUUCAGAAGAGGUAUUCAUUAUACAGAUAUCGUUUAACGAAUUGCCCGAUUGCCGAUUCACUGCGCCUACCUAUCUUCAAUCACCCAGGAAUGUUCACUUGGCCGCCUACCAAUGAUGCCUUUCACUUUCAGACAGUUCCUCGCGCAUGAAAGGACUUCACUUAUAAAGUCAAGAUAAGAAAGGAUGGUCUACGAUCAGGGAAUGCCUUUUUUGUUAAAGAGAAUUGGCCGCAGAGAGAGCGCCUAUCUCUCAUAAGAGAAGGAGAGCCACUUUUUUUUAGAGUAUAUUAAUGAGUAGGACUGAAAUUCCAAGCGCUCCUAGCUCAGAAACCACACACAGACAAACACAUGGAGGCCCAUAAAACCCAACAAUAAUAGACUAACAAAUAUACGUGACAUACACUUCCUGUGUGAAGUUUUCAUCUUAAUGAAUCAAAGCUCUUUGUAAAAUGCUACUUUUCUUUCUGCAACAAGUAAGAGUACUUUUUCUUAUCAUACACCCUUAUGAAUGAAUGAAUCAAAAAAAUGAGACUCCUAAACUGGCCCCCCUCCUCUGUUUCUUCAAAGACAGAGGUACACAUCACAGGAAAAAACCCCAAAAACAGAAAGAGAAAGAAGUAAGUCAAAAAAUAGGAAAUACUGCUAGAUGGCUACCAGAUUAGCAGCAAAGUACGCUUUUAGUUCCUUUUGGCACAACAAAACAAGGUAGUAAUACGGGAGAAGGUGGUCCAGUAAUCUUCUCCAGCAGGGUGGCCAUAGUGAGAUAGAGUGGUGAAACUGGGUUCCGAAUAAAAAAAAACAGAGCGAGCGGGGAAGGCAAAAGCUAUGACAUUGGAAUCCGCUUCAAGGUAAGCCCCACUCCACUGAAUUGGAGAAUUCCAGAACACGUAUCAGAGAGUGCUCCAAUGGCAGUGGGGCACAAUUGAGAUAAUUUCGACGAUUAGAAAAGAAAAAGAAGAAGGUUAGUGUUCAAUGAGCUCGAGAUAGCUGCCUGAUGAGAGGAAGGGACGCCGGGUACAAUCUUUCUUUGGUUCCAGCCCCCCGGUUACACCAAAGCACACCAGUCAACACUGUACUAUAGCGCUUACACCUGUGAGUUGGCAAAAUAAUAUCGUAUGUUAAUAAAAGACCUGAGUUGGCGAAAAAAAAAAAAAAAAAAAGCUAACGCUAACUAAGUGUUUAGUUACCAUGCCCAAAAGCCCCAUGCCUUUCCUGGUUGGAUAACCAAAUCCAACCGGCGAUUUCCUACAAGUUUCUCUUUUUUUUGGGGGAAGCUAAGAAAGGACAAAGAAAAAUGAAUAUCAUGUUUACACCGAUCGGAUUUCAAAAAGUCCUUCGACCCUUACCUUUUAUUCAUUCUAUGAUUCUCCUUUCUACCCUUGUUUUGACUACCUGUCUCCUGUCUCAUUGGAUUGGCUUUGAUCCCUACCUUAUUAUAGAGAGGGUCAAAGGUUCUUUUUUACUCCAUGCCUUACGUGCUCUUUUUAGGCUCUUUGGUUUGGAAAUACCUAUCCUUCUUCUUUCGCUCGUCGCUUUGGUAGGCGGUUGCAGCAGCUUUCAAAUGGAGGAUAAUUCCGCUGGAGGAAGGGCGGUGGAUUCAGGGUCGGGGUCGGAUAAUUGGCAAAAGUACCUCAACUUAUCCGAGGAAAAUGACUCCGCCGCAUCAGCCUCUCCCCCGUCGUCCUCUUUUUUCAGAGGACUUUCGGACAUGUCCCCUGCACCGGACCUUGGGGAGGAAGUGCAGCAAGUGAGCCCUACUCAUUCCAUUUCCCAAACGGAUCUAUGGAAUUCACCUUCCUCGUCGGCUCCAACCCCAGGUCAGGAUAAUCAACCGCCCCUGAUCCCAGAGCUCCACCCUCCGCUUCUCGAUGACGACACCCGUCGAGCGGAGCUCGCGAGUAGGUUAAGAACCGUUUUAUGGGGGAAAGCUUAUAGGGAAGAAAUGAUAGACUCCGUUGUUGAUACGCAAGUGCAGAUUGAAAAACAUAUUCAAGCUGCACUUGUGGGACGGGACUAUUCGGUUGAGUCUCUUCUUGCGAAGAGGCACCAGAUCAGGGGGCUCAUCUUCUCCCCAAUGGGAGAAGCGCUUAGUGAAAGGACUUACGCUUUGCACCUGAAGGAGAUUCUCCAGUUGGGUACAGUGCAAAGCCUUCCAUUUCGGCGGGUUGAAAGGGCCAUAAAGGACUUUAAUCUCUUUCUUGAACUUGAAAGAGCGUAAAUUCUGCCUUUUUUGAUCCCAAUUUCCCACUCUUUCUGUGAGGCAAAACCUCACCACACUACACUACACUUCGACACAAGAGAAGAGGACCGGGCGCUUUGUAUCUUCGGGAUAGGAGUUGGCGGUCUUCUUUAAGAGAACUUCAAUCUAAU